UACAGGGGGGGCAAGCGUUGUUCGGAAUUACUGGGCGUAAAGGGCCAGUAGGCGGCCAACUAAGUCCGACGUGAAAUCCCCAGGCUUAACCUGGGAACUGCGUCGGAUACUGGAUGGCUUGAAUUCGGGAGAGGGAUGCAGAAUUCCAGGUGUAGCGGUGAAAUGCGUAGAUAUCUGGAGGAACACCAAUGGCGAAGGCAGCACUCUGGGACGUGACUGACGCUGAGACGCGAAAGCGUGGGGAGCAAACAGG
rnacentral:rRNA from 1 species